CCUUCCAACCCAACCAUCCUAUGACUGUAUGAUCUUAAGGACCCUUCCAAACCAACCAUCCUAUGGCUGUAUGAUCUUUAAGGACCCUUCCAACCCAAUCAUCCCAUGGCUCUGUGAUCUUUAAGGACCCUUCCAACCCAACCAUCCUAUGACUGUAUGAUCUUUAAGGACCCUUCCAACUCAACUAUCCUAUGACAGUAUGAUCUUUAAGGACCCUUCCAACCCAGCCAUCCCAUGGCUCUGCUAUCUUUAAGGACCCUUCCAACCCAGCCAUUCUGUGAUUUCAGUAGCCCACAUCUUCCAUCCUGCCACGCAGAUUCCUUUUCCUACAUUGGGAUCAAACAUUACAAGUCAUCAUGCCUUUACCUAUCCAAGCUAAGUGAUUUUUUUUGUAGUUGGUCAGAAAUUAAGGAUUCCUAGCAAUCAAUUAACAAAGCACUAACAGCAUACGGAAGCUCUGUGGUAACAUCAGCUGUUUCUUUUUCUUAUCAGUACUGCCACGAUCUAUUUCUCAUUAUUUCUCAUUUGUUACCCCCUCAGCCCUCCUGCAGUGAGAGAGGGUUGUAGCUGGUGGGAAAAACUCUGGAGAAUAACCAAGCAACAGAACAGUGGGAAGAACACCGUGCUCCCUGAUUUUGCUGUCUGGCUUCGUAAUGCAUUCCAGUAAUGCACAGAUGAGCACAAUACAAGCAGAACAAAUUCGACUUCAAUACAAGAGUUGUGGGAGGGGAACUCUAUGUCUCCUUGCCAGAGCGGUGUCCUGCCUCACCCCAGCCAAGUGUGGGCUAUCGGCGUGGAAAUGCUCCUUCACUUCUCCUACCUGAUGCUAACUGGAGGUGAUUUGCAGGUGAUGGACUGCAGCUCUCACUGCGCAGCUUUGCUGAUCAGAAGGUGUUGUAGAAAAUGGGGUUUUGUGCUGAAGAGCCCAAUGCAGGGAGCCGAAGGCGUGUGGCUGUGCUUUGUUUUCCUUCAGAAGGAAAUACAGGGAACCAUAUUUGUCCUAACAAAGCAAUGCAUUUCAUUUCGGCUCUGCUCUGGCUUUGGCUCACCCAAAGCUUCAGGAAGGAUGAGGGUGACAGACACAGGAGAAGCGCUUCCCAGAACAAAACAGGUUUGUGUUUUGCUUUUUUUUUUUCCUUCCCUUUCUUUUUGCGUCAACAACCCCUGCAACAAUCCAGGCCUUUCACUCAGUUUAAAUUGGGUUAUUCAACACUAAUGUUAUGCAAGGCUCCUGAUUAGUGGUGUGGAGUUCGAGUUGGGAGACUAUUGGAGCUGCGAUGGAAUUAAGGUAACCCUGGCAACCAUUGUCAUUAAAAUCAGGUUCCUCUUGUUGCAUUCCUUGCAGCCCUCGUGUGCUGAGGCAGCACAAGGGUUCUUCCCAGAAUAUUCCAGUCUGGAGUGUGGAGGCAGAGGGUUGGAGGUGGUGAACGUGCCUCAUUUUCUUGUUUAAUUCUCUGUGGAAUCUUAGAACCAUGGAAUGUCCCAAUGGAAGGGAUCUGCUGGGAGACCUGGUCAGGAAUUUCUCUUGGUGUACUCCAUGGCUUGUCCUUGAGCCCUGACCCUGUGGCUGAGGAGAAGGAGGGGAAAGAAGUAAAAUUAAGAAGGGAUGUAGUGUGAUGGUACUCCCCCCCUCCCCCGACCUCCACAUAGGAGGAGACUUUGAGAAACAGAGAAGUAGGGAGAAGGAAGAGGCUUUGCUUGGCUGUCCUGUGAUACGGAGAUGACCUUGGGCAAAUGGCUUUGGUUGUCGGUGCCUUCCUCUUAUCCAGUGAGGCGAUAUCACUUCUCUCUUCUCUGCAGAUCUGAGGCUGGUGGAUGGACCAGUAAUCCACUGGAUAAUCCUCCCAGGGCUUUAUUUCAACCCAGCUCAUGAGGGUCCUGGUAGCCAAUAGGUUGAUCUAAGGCUGACCGUGAGCUAGCAGUAUGCCCUGGUGGCCAGGAAGGCCAAUGGGACCCCGGGAUGCACUGCACAGACCAUGGCCAGCAGGGCCCAGUGCUGGGCUCCCCAUUUCCAGGCAGACUGGGAACAGCUGGGAGGUGGUGAGGGCCUGGAGCACCUCCUGGUGGGGACAGGCUGAGAGCCCUGGGGCUGUGAACAUGGAGUAGAGAAGGCUGAGAGAGGGGGUCUGAUCGACAGCAAGCUCUUUCGAUGCUUGGCAUCUCGUUUUUCCUUGACUUCUUAUUCUUAAUAUAAAUCAACUGAAACGUUUUCUGGUUUCUCCGCAGCAGAUGCAGCACAAAAUGACCACAAAUGAGUCACUGGGUUGUCUGAACAUGCAAAGCCUUUCGAGCUGAUGUUCCUCAUUAUGCGGCUUCCCCAUCGCAUUCUUGUUGCCUCACAUUUCUGUGGGGAAAUGUUAGCUGCUGGCAUGGGGAUCGCAAAGUGCCAGGAGCAGCUGCUGCCAUGGGAGGUGACAAGCUGUAUUUGGGACCUUACCUUCAUAGAAUCAUAAAGGUUGGUUGGUCGUCAAGUCCGACUGCCAACCCAUCCCCACCUUGCCUACUAAAACCUUGCAUGGGGAAGGACUGGAGCUGUGGCAGCAGCACUCAGGCUGAUUCAUCACAUGGUUUGGGGGUGAGAUUUGGGGUUUUUCUACCUCAGAUCACCCGGUGGCAAUGCUGAGUGGGUGCAGACAGCUGCCAAGCCUGGGCAGAACUGAGGCAGAACAGUGAGCUUCUCAUCCCGUGGGGAUUCUGAACUGCUUUUUCUCUUCAGGAUUUGUUUGUUCUGUGCUUCCUGUCUUUUGUCGUUAGUUUGAAGUCACUAAUUGUGGUGCUGGUAAAAGAGAAGUUCCCAGAGCAGUGUGGGUGCUCCAUCCUGGAGCUGCCCAUGACCAUGGAUGAGGUCUGGGUGGCAUGAGCUGGUGGGGGGGAACCCAGCCCAUGAAAGGAGUGGGGCCAGAGGGCUUUGGGGUCCCUUUCCACUCAACUGUGCUGGGAUUCUGUGAUCUUGAAGGACCCUUCCAAUCCGACCAUCCUGGGAUUCUGUGUUCCUGAAGGACUUGUCCAUCCCAACCAUACUGGGAUUCUGUGAUCUUGAAGGACCCAUCCAACCCAACCAUUCUAUGCUUCUGAAGGGAUGCCUGUUCAGUCUUGUAACUGAAAUAUUGUACAGCAGGGAGAUAGCUUUCCCCCAGACAGACAUACUUGCAUAACCACAAAGCUGUGCCAAGUAGAAUUUAGGAUCCCCCAAACAAGUCCAAGUGCCCUUCAAAGCAUCUUUGAGUAAUUUGUCCUCUGUCUUCCUCCAGGACGUGACAAAUGUCACGGCACCAUCACUAGGAUCAAACAACCUGCUCUUUUGGUGAUUUCUCUGGUUUUUGUGGAUUUUUUUUUUUUUUUUUUUUGUAUGUCAGUUUGGGAGUAGAAAUCACUUUUUUUUCUCUUUACAGGAGUAGGGGGACAGUGGCGUGUUGGCCUUCGUUUUGGGUAGAGAUGGAUGCUGCCACAUCCUCGCUUCUUCCUUGGAGUUGAUUUAGGGCCAUUCCUGAUGCAGAUCCUUGGCACUUCCCCGUGUUGUCAUGGAAAACAAAUUAAAGCCCUUUCCCUUCUGUGAGGAUAGCACUGCCUCUUGGGCAAAUCCAUUCUGGAAUUGUCAGAAUCAGGAAAGAGUUCUGGGUGAAAAUCACCUUUAAGUGCUGUUCCUUUUCACGUGGCUUUUGCUGCUCUCCUUUCCCAUAGGCACAGCCAUCCUUGGCUGAUCUUUGAGCAUCUUAAUGCAUGUGCAGCCCGUGAGCCCUCACGUUUCCUUCUCUUUAUUCAGCUUUUGAGAAGCCCUGGACAGAGGGAAAGCACAGAACGUGCUUCAGAGACGAGCAGAAGGAGGGGACGCGUGCGGAGAGCCAAGCUGUCUAUCAGGCACCCCCCAGCACAUUACAACGCAUUGGGGCAGAGCCUCAGUUACCACUGCAAGGAUUUUGCUUCCUCAUCCCUCUCACCCAUCCACUCCUUUUGUUUUUUAUCCCCACGUAAAACGCAUUCAGGUCGUCACCCACCUCCAUCUGCAGAGUGGAUCAGGGAGGCACACAACUGAAAGAACAAACGUCCAUUUCUUUUUUCUCUCCUUCCUGGAAGUCUUUUGCUUCCACGUAAGGGCUGUGUGCUGUGAUAAUGCAGAAAUGGAUAGUGUUGGGUUUUAGCUAUUUCAGUUAUUUAACUGAAGAGUUAUUCUUCACGUGAACUGUUUUGGGAAACCGCAGCUGUGUAAUUCAGGGGAUGGUUCAUGAGCCUCAAAGGGGUGGUGCUGGAAGGCAUCAAGUGUUGGAUUUUUCUCAUCAGUGUCAAAGAACUGCUGAAACCCAAACCCAAGACAUUCUGUGGUUCUGCCAUCUUUAAAAUCGCUUCCAACCCAACUGUUCUGUGGCUCUGUACACAGAACCCCACUCUGUGCAACCCCGUGGUGCAAAAGGCAGGAUGUGUUUCCUUGGGAAGGAGCUGCAAACAAACCUGACAGACGUUUAGAGAAAUCCAGCCCCCGUUAUUGGCAGGCGCGCUGCCACUGUGAUAAAUGCUGUGAGAUUUGUGCCCAGGGUGUGAAUGACUCACUUACACUUGAUGUGUUGCUGCUCACAGUCUGUGCUUUGUGGGAUUUCCAGGUUUCUGGAGGUGUGAGGUGUGCGCUCCCCGUGGUGUAUCACAAGAGCCAUCCCUUGGGGCUCUCCUCUGACUGAGACAGUAAUGCUGAGAGUGAUGGAGCUCAGAUCUUAAGCUCUGCUGAGCUGCAUGGAUGGAGUUGGAAGUUUGUGGGGCUAUGGAUGCUUCUUCCUGCAGUGUUUGGGUUGUGUAAGGGAGCUUGUCCGAGCUCAUAGAUCCAUAGGGCCUUCCCAUGCUGCUGUGCUGUAUUUUCACUUCAGCCAUCCAUUGGUUUUGUCCAUGAAGGAGAGAAUCAUGGAAUGAUUGGGUUGGAAGGGUCCUUCAAGGUCACAGAACCACAGAAUGGUUGGGUUGGAAGGGUCCUUAAAGAUCACACAGCCAUAGGAUGGUUGGGUUGGAAGGGCCCUUCAGGGUCACUGAGUGCUUGGGUUGGAAGAGUCCUUCAAGGUCACGGAAUGGUUGGGUUGGAAGGGUCCUUCAAGGUCACAUAAUGGUUGGAUUGGAAGAGUCCUUCAAGGUCAUAGAAAGGUUGGGUUGGAAGCGUCCUUCAAGGUCACAUAAUGGUUGGAUUGGAAGAGUCCUUCAAGGCCAUGAAAUGGUUGGGUUGAAAGGGUCCUUCAAGGCCAUGGAAUGGUUGGGAUGGAAGGGUCCUUCAGGAUCACUGAGUGGUUGGGUUGAAAGGGUCCUUCAAGGCCAUGGAAUGGUUGGGAUGGAAAGGUCUUUCAAAGUCAAGGAACAUGUUGUGUCUGCAAUAAAUGGGACGCGCUCGCUCUGCAUGCAGACCAGAAAGCUGCAGUCACUGCUUUGUGUGUUCCCAUGCCUUAGCCAUGAUGCUUACCCUUUGCUGUCAAGCAGUUUAAUAUUUUUAACAACUUUUUUUCUUCCUUUCUAAUGUGACAACAAAGAGAAUGUUCAACAGGAUAACUGAGCUGAAAGCACGGCGCAGUGAGAUCGUUAUCGGCAAGCAUGGCUGAAUGGCUUUAGGAAGUAUGUGCUUAUUCAUUAACUUUGAAAUCUGCUCAUGAGACCUCUCAGUUCUCCUGGUGGUGUUGGACAGAAACGGAUAUUUUGGAGGCUGAGCCUGGGAUGGAAAGCUCUUGGUGCAGUAGGUCACCGUGAGGUGGUUGUAGGCUGCUUUGAAGAGGUGGGUCACAGGGAGGUGGCUGUGGGUCGCCGUGGGAUUGUUGUAGGCUGCUGUGAAGGGACUGUAGGCCGCCACGAGAAGAUUGCAGGCUUCUAUGAAGAGACUGUAGGUCACUGAGAGAUGGUUGUAGGUCACCACAAGGUGAUUGUAGGCUGUUAUACAUUGUAGAACGUGAAUACGUUGUAGACCACCAUGAGGUGGCUGUAGGUCGCAAUGAGGGAACUGUAGGCUGUCAUGAGGCAGCUGUAGGUAAAUGGUGUGCUUCUCCAUGUGGCCUAUAUCCAGUUCUUCCAGGAGGCUCAAGCAUAAGAUUUUUUUCUCACUCUUGUUCAGUUCUGCGUGGGGAAGCCCCAUUGCAUGCUGCAGAUGUCAGCACUGCUCUCUGCCACCAAAAUCAGUUGGUUUGGGAUUUCUGAUGCUUGGAAAGAAAAAAGGCAUUUUAAUCUUCGGUUCAUGGAGUGAGUGAGACGUGCUCGUUAUCAUUAGCCUGUUCCAAGCACAGUCUGGAUUUGAUGCUUGGUCUGAAUUGAAAGCGACAGUGUAUAUUUCUGAAAUCCAUUUCAGUGUUUAAUGCUCUGUUGCAAAAAAAAAAGAGUCAUUAGGGUAAUGCUACGCCCAUUGGCUUCAGCAACUCUUGUCUCAAAGGCAGCACUCCCAGACUUUGCAUUGUGCCUUUUGCUGUUUUUAUGGCCCGGCUGCUGCAGUUGUGAUGUUGGAUAACAGCCUCAUUCUCUGCUGAACGUUUGAGAAAGUGCUGAUUAGCAGAAAACAGCUUUUAAUUGUGUGCUUGAUGGACUGAAAUACGGUGGGGGUGAUCUCUUCAUCCCUGUGGUAAAUUUUCAUCUCCCACUUUGAAGACUGGAGAAGAAUCGUCUUUUGAUAUUCCCUUUAAUUUUCAUAUUUUCGUCUUAAAAAGAGACGAUGAUGCUCUUAAAUAGAACUUGAGAGGUUGGGGAAAGAACAUUUGGGUCGAGGAGUAAUUUUUUUGGAGCAGUUUAGAACAGAGCCGCUUCAUUUCUCGGAGCGGAAUGACGCACGUCUGAACCCUGCACCAAAAAUGACAUUGGCCUCCAUUCGUGUUGCAACAAGCGCUGCUGUCUGGCUGCCUUUGGAUUGUGCUUCAGAGCAAGGUCUGCCUCAAACAACAGGUCUGAACAGAUGGAUAUCUGACCGAGCUCAGUGCUGUGUUCCUCAACGUGACGCCGAGGCCGUUCCUGACCCCGUGGGGCACUUGGAUGCAGUGACGGGCGCAGGGAGCCUGCAGCGAUUUCGACUUGAUUUGCCACGCCACGGGUUUAAUUGCAAUACUCUUAUGUGCGCAAUUAAACGUGCUUAACCCUUUGGUGGAGGAAGAGCUUGAUGCGAGCCAGCUGCAGGGAGCCCUUGUUGCAACCUUCCAGGGCUUGAAGGGAGAUUGCAAGCAGGAGGAGAGUGACUUUGUAUGUGGGCAGAGUGCGAUGGGACACGGGGGAAUGGCUUUAAGCUUAAAGAGGGGGAGGUUGAGGUCUGAUGUAGGGGAUAUUCUUUCCCCUGAGACGGUGCCCAUAACUGUGGGUGCCCCAUCAUGGAGGUGCCCAAGGCUGUGGAUGGGAGCCUGGGCAGCCUGAGCUGGGGGGCACCCAGCCCAUAGCAGGGGUUGGGCUGGGGGGCUUUGGGUCCCUUUCAACUCAACCGUUCUGUGGUUCCAUGAUCUUGAAGGACCUUUCCAACCCAACUGUUCGAUGGUUCUAUGAUCUCCUGGGUUAAUAAGAAACAAUUCAAGUAAGAAGAAUUGUCACAGCCAGCUUUUGAUGGAGUUCACAUAGAGUUGUAAAUAAGGUUGGAAGAGACCUCUGAGAUCAUCGAGUCCAACCACAAACCCACCUCUACCACAGCCAUUCAACCACGUCCCCACGUGCCACGUCUCCAUGUUUCUGGAGCACCUCCAAGGAAGGUGGCUGCCCCUCCUCCCUGGGCAGCCUUUUCAGUGCAUCACCACCUUUUAGAAGACUUUUUUUCCUAAAAUGGGAUACGUCUGGGGUAUAGCCAGCUCAUGAGAUCUGAGUGCCAAGGGCAAUUUAAAUUACAAAUGCAAGUUUAUAGCUCCUUUUGUGUAUGCAUUUCUCCACCUAGAAUCAAAGUUUGUGCGUUGUGACAGGUCUGGAAGACUUAAAACUGAUAUGUGAACAUUGUGACCUGGGUAUAGGCAAGAAGUUGUGGCUUGAAGGACAUCUCUAACCUAAAGACCUGGUUUAUCACAUUUGUUGGUGGCCUUGGUGUUGUUGUUACCAGCUGCAUUGUUUGUGUACACAGUACAACAUUGUUCCUAACGUAUAUAAUUGUUAAAAGAAGGAGUGUGAAUGCAGUCUUGACCUUUAGAAGCAGUUCAGAUCAGCGUUCUGGGACAGAUCCUAAUCUCACCUCUACACAAAACACUGCAGAGCUGCUGGCUCACAGCUGCACGCUGGCAUUUGGUUUGUGCCAUUCGCUGCAUGGAAAACAGGCAAAAUUGGCUGGAUCCUUCUAGUUCUGUUUGCUUCGCUGGAGCUCUUUGACAUCUACAUUCUUCGGAAAAGAAUUUCAGCCAAGCAGGAGUUCAGAAAUCCUGGCAGUUUGUCUGUGCUUCGAAAUAGGGCCCCAUCCCUGCUGCUGAGGGUCUGCUGGUGUCCCAGGUGUGGGGUUGGAGCUGCAUUCGUGCUUCCUAUUCUUCUUUCUGCAUCAGAGCAGUGCAAAACCUGAUUUAAUUAAACCUGAGGCACCGUCCCUUCAGGCCUGGAGAGAAUCCCAGCUCAUUCCCAUUUACUGGGACCACGAAAAUCGCAGCGAGAAGCUGACUGAGGCUCAGACUGGUUCUGCUGUCAGCCAGUGUGGCAGCCUUGAUCACUUCCUUCCCACAUUUCCCAUUAGCUUGGACUUUUCACUCAGCUUGCUUUCUUUUUGCAGAGAAGCCCGCCCUGUGUUUGCUUCUUCCCACUUCUCCCCAUUAUCUCAGUAGGUUACAUUGAAAUGCAUGGACAUCCUUUGUUCAAAGCAAUGUUAGUUAGAAGCUUUGCUCUUUCAAAUGGCUCCUUUUGCUUUUGCUGUGUUCCCUCAACACCGUUUCUGAGCUCUAGAGAUAAACAACAAGGAGCUUGUAAUGAGCCAGAACCCCAACUGAUGGAAAUCAUGGUUAUGGAACAAUCAGUGUUUUCAUUCUACUGUUUCAAUAAAAGUCCCCCCAAAAAUAAAGGGAGAAAGGUGAGAAAUGCUAUUUGUUAACAUGAGCUUCUAAACUUAGAGAUGUUGUUGUGUUACAUCUUGAUCCCAGAUUUGGGGGAGGACGUACUGCCCGGUGUGUGUCCCUCCUGGAAGGAGGGGAGCAGCUCUUGUGUUGGGCUCCUAUCAGUAUCUUUUUAAGAAGUGAUCUGUGGAGCAUCUGCUUGAUUCCCAGAGUGAUUCUUUUCAUGAUUGUUUCCAUAAGGCAUUAGCACAUAAGGGGAUGACUCUGUCUGCAUAGACAGAAGGAAAGAGGAUUUGAGGGGAACACAGAUGAGGGAGAGCUUUGCAGAAGGACACGGAGCGCUCUGCAAAGCACAAACAACAGAGCUUUGGCUAUUAUUUAUUGCUCACAUCGUGAUGAGCUCUGGACUCAGGAUUCAUUUCAAAAAACAGCAUGAAGCAAUCUCUGAUUUUGGGAGGGCUCUGGGACAGCUCACCCUCAAAGCAGCCGCUGCCCUUGGGGACUGAGAGCUUCGACCUUGAGCUCCUCCAGUGGGAGUCCAUCUACUUAUGCCCUGCUUAUUUUUCUGACCAUUUUCUCUCGUUGAACUUGGAGAGAAGCAAUACCUGCAGUUCUUGUGACGAGACAUUUUGUGGCCAUCUGCUGGUGACCGCAUGGAUCAUAGGAUCACAGAAUCAUUCAGGUUGGAAGAGACCUCCAAGAUCAGUCUGAUUUUGUUGAUCAGGGAAGUGAACUGGGGCAUUUAUUUCCACCAAAGACGGAUGAUCUGUGGUGGAAAAUUGUCCCUGUGAAGUUCCCUGAAUGCAGCUGCGUGGUUCGUUCAGUCUGCAUGUUGUGGAUGGAUUAUUUCUAACUGCAUUCAGUGGUGUUAUAGAAUCAAAGAACUACAGAAUGCUUUGGGUUGGAAGGGUCCUUAAAGAUCAUAGAAUGGUGGGAUGGUUGGGUUGGAAGGUCCUUAAAGAUCACAGAAUGAUUGGGUUGGAAGAGUCCUUAAAGAUCAUAGAGUCAUGGGAUGGUUGGGUUGGAAGGUCCAUAAAGAUCACAGAAUCAUAGAAUCACUGGGUUGGAAGAGUCCUUAAAGAUCACAGAAUGAUUGGGUUGGAAGGGUCCUUAAAGACCAUAGAGUGAUUGGGUUGGUAGGGUCCUUAAAGAUCAUAGAAUGGUGGGAUGGUUGGGUUGGAAGGUUCUUAAAGAUCAUAGAAUGGUGGGAUGUUUGGGUUGGAAGGUCCUUAAAGAUCGUUUAGCCACAGACUGGUCGAGUUGGAAAGGACCUUAAAGAUAACAGAACUAUAGAAUGGAUGGGUUGGAAGAGUUCUUCAAGAUCAUAUUGCUACCAAAUGGUUGUGUUUGACCCCAAAACUUCCAGCCCCCCCCCCCUGCUGUGGGCUGGCUGCUCCCCACCAGCUCAGGCUGCCCAGAGUCCCAUCCAGCCACGUCUCACUGUACCUUGCACACAUCACACAUGGGUGCAUUUAUUCAAAACACAAAAAUCCCACUCAUAUCUCACAGUUAUUUGGCACUCUGGAUCCAUUUCCUGUAAAGGAUUCAGGAUUUCGAGCAAAUAAAUACCACUUCAGCUCUUGUUCUUGGCUGCUCAGCGCUGUUAUAACUCAGGGACUGGAACAGAAGCAGAGCUCAGUGUGUUUUGGAAGCCUCGGGAAUGUGGAGUUUGGGCAUCCCCAUGGUUCAGACCCAAACAGCACAGACCGUGGGUGAUCCAGUGCCGGUGCUUAUAUUGCUCAUAAGACAAAGCAUCAACAUCCUUUUAUAAGAUCUGGUCUCGAGUUUGAAGAGUUUGAAAUUAAUAAUUGUGGAGAUGUGGU